AGAGUUUGAUCAUGGCUCAGGAUGAACGCUAGCUACAGGCUUAACACAUGCAAGUCGAGGGGCAGCAUGUUGGUUGUCUUGCAACCAACGAUGGCGACCGGCGCACGGGUGAGUAACGCGUAUCCAACCUACCCUUGUCCAUCGGAUAACCCGUCGAAAGGCGGCCUAACACGAUAUGCGGUUCACGGCAGGCAUCUAAAGGUGAACGAAAUGUGAAGGAGAAGGAUGGGGAUGCGUCUGAUUAGCUUGUUGGCGGGGUAACGGCCACCAAGGCUACGAUCAGUAGGGGUUCUGAGAGGAGGUCCCCCACAUUGGAACUGAGGACACCGGUCCAAACUCCUACGGGAGGCA
rnacentral:rRNA from 1 species